rnacentral:rRNA from 1 species
AACGAACGCUGGCGGCAGGCUUAACACAUGCAAGUCGAACGCCCCGCAAGGGGAGUGGCAGACGGGUGAGUAACACGUGGGAACGUACCUUCAGGUCUGGAAUAACCCAGGGAAACUUGGGCUAAUACCGGAUAUCCCGGAGACGGGAAAGGCUUGCUGCCUGAAGAUCGGCCCGCGUCCGAUUAGCUUGUUGGUGGGGUAAUGGCCUACCAAGGCUUCGAUCGGUAGCUGGUCUGAGAGGAUGGCCAGCCACAUUGGGACUGAGACACGGCCCAAACUCCUACGGGAGGCAGCAGUGGGGAAUAUUGGACAAUGGGCGCAAGCCUGAUCCAGCCAUGCCGCGUGAGUGAUGACGGCCUUAGGGUUGUAAAGCUCUUUUACCUGGGAAGAUCAUGACGGUACCAGGAGAAUAAGCCCCGGCUAACUUCGUGCCAGCCGCCGCCG